UGUCAAGACAGGAAUAUGAAUGCUCGUCUAAAUAUGAAUAUCCCUUUUAAAUUGAUCUGCAUUGUUGUUUUAGUCCAGAGCGAGUGUUCGCCAGUUUCAAGCAAGAAUACGUCAGGUGAUGCUGAUUGCAGCCAUCCAAGUAAAAAGGAUUUCGGUCUUAUAAUGAAUGGUACUGUUAGAGGGUCUUUAAAGACUUUACCAAAAAUUAUAGCUGGGUUUCUUUCGAUCAACAACUCAGGU